rnacentral:lncRNA from 1 species
UAUUCUCCUGCCUCAGCCUCCCAAGUAGCUGCGAUUAACAGGAAGAAUGCAAAAUGGCAUACAUGAAGAAGAGUGAAGAAUCCAGAAAAACUGGAAUUCCUACAAAGAAAAGUCUAUAGAAACGUCCCAAAAGCAAAUGAACAAGGGAGCCAACCCUGAGAACCGUGGGGUCACAAGAGAGUGGACGGUGAGUUGUACCUAUGUCCUAUGCAGAAGGAUGGUUCUCUGAGCAAGUCUUCUCCAAGAACACAAAAGAAUGGGGGAUUUUGAAAA